AUGACUCGGACAGGUUCUUCCACAUUCUCUCUUGUUGGGCAGUGUGGUGUAGUGGUUAAGGCUUUGGGCUACAAGCCCUCAAGCUGUGUCCAUUCAGCUAUUGUCUUGUCCCAAACAAGUAAUGAGGUCAGAAAGCCUGGUGAGUCGUUGCGACUGACCUGCCAAGGAUCUGGACAAGACAGUGAUGGAGAUACUGUUACAGCUUACUGGAUGAGCUGGAUUCGACAGGAGCCUGGAAAAAGUCUUGAAUGGCUAGCUCACAUUAAUCCAAACAGUGGUACUAUACGCUACGCCAGCAGCAUUGAAGGACGAUUUACAAUCUCCAGAGACAAUUCUAAACAGGCUCUGUAUUUGGACAUGAACAGCCUCAAAACUGAAGACACAGCCAAAUAUUAUUGUGCUACACACACAAUGAGGAAGUUCAUGAUAUAG